UCAGGUAGAUGGGCAGAAAAUUAAGAAAACGUACCAGUAUUAGCUUGUCCAGAGAAAAAAUAAUAGUAGUAUAUGUUUUCUAGUUUUACUCAUGCGAGCGGUAUCAAGUUGAAGCGACUAGCCUUUUCAAUUAUGUAGAGGCAGAGAAAAAGUAUUAGACGUACUUUUAUCGUUCUGAGGCAAAUUUUCUAAUCCCAACGCUUCCGUCUUAGUUUCUAAGUUUCGAAUCAUGAACGUAACUUAGUUAAAAGAUCAAGGAGGGAAUAGGGCAGGAAACAGUGCCAGGUAUGCCCGAGACAGUGGAAGUUCCAGGAAUCUGAAGAUACGUACUUUGUCAGAUCAUUCUAAUGAGUGACUCUGUCUCACAAACUUGAGCAGUAACCUGUAAACAGCCUCCUAAAAUGCACGCAAAUAGCAUCUUUAUAUGCAGGUAUGUUUGUAACUCUGUAUCAGACCUGUAAGAACUUUUUAACUUCAGUACAUCUGACUGUUUUUUGCAUUACCAUAACAGACGUUUGAUAGUAACAGGUAAUGAUUUGAUGGAGGUGGUGUUAUUUUUUGGCCAUCAAACUGAAGUGUGCGUGGACUGCAAAUUUUACAAGGCAUUAUUAUUCAUAUAUGGUCUAUUGAGACAUCUAGAAGAGUUAGAAUUUGGGAAAUUACUGUUAAGUUCCGUAGAGUAUUUCCCUUUUUGUUUUUUGGGAUUCCUCAUUUAUUACUUGGUUUUAUUUGUUCAUCUUCUGCUUUCUGGUAAUAAUCUCCUAUAAACA